rnacentral:rRNA from 1 species
UGGCUCAGAUUGAACGCUGGCGGCAUGCCUUACACAUGCAAGUCGAACGGGAUUAAGGGGCUUGCUCCUUAAUCUAGUGGCGAACGGGUGAGUAAAGCAUCGGAACGUACCCAGAAGUGGGGGAUAACGUAGCGAAAGUUACGCUAAUACCGCAUAUUCUCUGAGGAGGAAAGCAGGGGAUCGCAAGACCUUGCGCUUUUGGAGCGGCCGAUGUCGGAUUAGCUAGUUGGUGGGGUAAAGGCCCACCAAGGCGACGAUCCGUAGCUGGUCUGAGAGGAUGAUCAGCCACACUGGGACUGAGACACGGCCCAGACUCCUACGGGAGGCAGCAGUGGGGAAUUUUGGACAAUGGGCGAAAGCCUGAUCCAGCCAUGCCGCGUGAGUGAAGAAGGCCUUCGGGUUGUAAAGCUCUUUCGCGAGGGAAGAAAAUGUAUGGGCUAAUACCCUGUGCAGAUGACGGUACCUUGAUAAGAAGCACCGGCUAACUACGUGCCAGCAGCCGCGGUAAUA